GGGCCCGCACAAGCGGUGGAGUAUGUGGUUUAAUUCGAUGCAACGCGAAGAACCUUACCUACACUUGACAUCCUCGGAACUUUCUAGAGAUAGAUUGGUGCCUUCGGGAACCGAGUGACAGGUGCUGCAUGGCUGUCGUCAGCUCGUGUCGUGAGAUGUUCGGUUAAGUCCGGCAACGAGCGCAACCCUCGUUCCUAGUUGCCAGCGGGUAAUGCCGGGGACUCUAGGAAGACAAACCUCGUGUAGAGGUGGGAAGGUGGGGACGACGUCAAGUCAGUAUGGCCCUUACGACCAGGGCUGCACACGUGCUACAAUGCCCGGUACAAUGGGAUGCAAUACCGCGAGGUUGAGCCAAUCCAUAAAACCGGGCCCAGUUCGGAUUGGAGUCUGCAACUCGACUCCAUG
rnacentral:rRNA from 1 species